rnacentral:rRNA from 1 species
UGGGGAAUAUUGCACAAUGGGGGAAACCCUGAUGCAGCAACGCCGCGUGAGUGAUGACGGUCUUCGGAUUGUAAAGCUCUGUCUUUAGGGACGAUAAUGACGGUACCUAAGGAGGAAGCCACGGCUAACUACGUG